rnacentral:piRNA from 1 species
UCGCAGAAUCUACCACCGGAUCGGAAAC